AAUAGAUACCCAGGUAGUCCACGCCGUAAACGUUGGGCGCUAGGUGUGGGACUCAUUCCACGAGUUCCGUGCCGCAGCUAACGCAUUAAGCGCCCCGCCUGGGGAGUACGGCCGCAAGGCUAAAACUCAAAGGGGAUUGACGGGGGGCCCGCACAAGCGGCGGAGCAUGUGGAUUAAUUCGAUGCAACGCGAAGAACCUUACCAAGGCUUGACAUAUACCGGAAACACUCAGAGAUGGGUGCCCCGCAAGGUCGGUAUACAGGUGGUGCAUGGUUGUCGUCAGCUCGUGUCGUGAGAUGUUGGGUUAAGUCCCGCAACGAGCGCAACCCUCGUUCUAUGUUGCCAGCGCGUUAUGGCGGGGACUCAUAGAAGACUGCCGGGGUCAACUCGGAGGAAGGUGGGGAUGACGUCAAAUCAUCAUGCCCCUUAUGUCUUGGGCUUCACACAUGCUACAAUGGCCGGUACAAAGGGCUGCGAAACCGCAAGGUGGAGCGAAUCCCAAAAACCGGUCUCAGUUCGGAUUGGGGU
rnacentral:rRNA from 1 species